rnacentral:rRNA from 1 species
UGGGGAAUCUUGCGCAAUGCGCGAAAGCGUGACGCAGCAACGCCGCGUGAGGGAAGAAGGCUUUCGGGUUGUAAACCUCUUUCAGGAGGGACGAAGGUUCGGCAGUGAAUAGCUGACCGGACUGACGGUACCUCCAGAAGAAGCUCCGGCUAACUACGUGCCAGCAGCCGCGGUAAUACGUAGGGAGCAAGCGUUGUCCGGAAUCAUUGGGCGUAAAGCGCGCGUAGGCGGCCCGGUAAGUCCGUUGUAAAAGUCAAAGGCUCAACCUUUGAAAGCCGAUGGAUACUGCCGGGCUAGAGUCCGGAAGAGGCGAGUGGAAUUCCUGGUGUAGCGGUGGAAUGCGCAGAUAUCAGGAGGAACACCUAUAGCGAAGGCAGCUCGCUGGGACGGUACUGACGCUGAGGCGCGAAAGCGUGGGGAGCGAACAG